CCUAGAAACAAUCUCUCAGCUCGCUUUCGCUCUCAAACCAAUCUUCUCCCUCGCUCUCGCACACAACAGAAAUUUUUGAACUGAAAACCCAAUCCAACAUCAAUCUCUUCUAAUCCAACAUCAAACUGAAAACCCAGAAAAAUCCCACCCAUCUCGCCUAGCAAACAUAGAAAACCUCAUUCCAGCCAAAGCAUCUCAGUCUCAAUCUGUAUCUUGUUCUCAAUCUCAAUCUGUAUCGUGUUGCUGGAGGCCGCGCAGGCAAUUUGGGCGGAGGCUAGGUGGUUUAGACGGAGGAUACGCGGAGCGGCUUGGGCGCUGCAAUUUGUUUUCUAUGCUCGUCAAAACGGAGGAUUGUUUUAAAGCAUCGUGGAGCUCGGAUAAAUCGAUACAUUUAAAGGCCAAGCAAUCCAAUGGGACGGAAAAUCCAGAGAACGAAGGCUAGCUAUAUUGCAUGAAGAAAGGAUAGGGUCAAACUCCGAAACU